AGUGAACGCUGGCGAUAGGCCUAACACAUGCAAGUCGAACGGCAGCACAGUAAGAGCUUGCUCUUACGGGUGGCGAGUGGCGGACGGGUGAGGAAUACAUCGGAAUCUACUUUUUCGUGGGGGAUAACGUAGGGAAACUUACGCUAAUACCGCAUACGACCUACGGGUGAAAGCAGGGGAUCUUCGGACCUUGCGCGAUUGAAUGAGCCGAUGUCGGAUUAGCUAGUUGGCGGGGUAAAGGCCCACCAAGGCGACGAUCCAUAGCUGGUCUGAGAGGAUGAUCAGCCACACUGGAACUGAGACACGGUCCAGACUCCUACGGGAGGCAGCAGUGGGGAAUAUUGGACAAUGGGCGCAAGCCUGAUCCAGCCAUACCGCGUGGGUGAAGAAGGCCUUCGGGUUGUAAAGCCCUUUUGUUGGGAAAGAAAAGCAGCAGGUUAAUACCCCGCUGUUCUGACGGUACCCAAAGAAUAAGCACCGGCUAACUUCGUG
rnacentral:rRNA from 1 species